AAGGCAAUAUUUUCGUACUGUCGUAGAGUAGAAAUGAAGACGUAUACACAAAAUGACCCAAUGCUGUUUUCUUAGGGUGCAUCCUUUGUUUUUCUGGUUUUGGUCUUUUCAUCGUAGGAUGGCCUUAGCUCUGUGUCUGCAGGCGCUGUGCAGCCUGGGGGGCUGGCUCUCGCUCUACAUUUCUUUCUGUCGCCUGAAUAAUCACCGAAGCUAUGAGUGGAGCUGCCGGCUGGUAACAUUCACCCACGGAGUCCUCUCGAUAGGUCUCUCAGCUUAUAUUGGCUUCAUUGAUGGCCCUUGGCCUUUUACCCACCCAGGCUCACCCAAUACACCUCUCCAAGUGCACGUUCUGUGUCUCACCUUGGGCUACUUCAUCUUCGACUUGGGCUGGUGCAUCUACUUCCAGUCUGAGGGGGCCCUGAUGCUGGCUCACCACACACUGAGUAUUUUGGGCAUCAUCAUGGCCCUGGUGCUCGGAGAGUCAGGCACAGAGGUCAACGCAGUCCUCUUUGGAAGCGAGAUUACCAAUCCCUUGCUACAGAUGCGCUGGUUUCUUCGUGAAACAGGCCACUACCAUAGUUUCACUGGAGACGUGGUGGAUUUCCUCUUUGCAGCUCUGUUCACUGGAGUGAGGAUUGGCGUAGGAGCUCACCUCCUCUUCUGUGAAAUGGUCUCACCCAAGCCCAAGUGGUUUGUGAAGGUCGGGGGAGUUGCGAUGUAUGCUGUGUCUUGGUGUUUCAUGUUUAGCAUCUGGCGUUUUGCAUGGAGGAAAAGCAGCAAGAAGUACCACACCUGGAGAAGCAGGCGGAGUGAGGAGUGGCAGCUAAAACACAAUGGACAUCUCAAGACGCACUAGCCAAGGCUUGCUCCAGACAAUCGAUUGGGUUAAGUCAGCCACGGGAACCAGGCUGGAGAUAUGGCUGUUGCAGAAUCCUGCUUAUGACAAGCUUAGGUUUCAAAAAAGGGCUAAAUUUAUCCAUCCGUUUGGUCAGUCUUAGAGCAGAACACAUCCCGAUAUUAAAACACUAACUUCUGCAGCUGUGCAGUUGUAGGAAGUGAGACUCCCAGCAAUAGUUGUAAGUCAGAACUGUGAGAUACAUUACCUGUUCAUCCUGCUACUACUUUUUCUCUGGAAAAAGUGCCACUCUCUCUGGAUAAUGUAUUACGACAAGGCCUGUGUUGGAAGGAAAAAAUAUUUCUUAAUAGUCUCUCAGCUAGGAAAAGCAAGAACGUAAGUGUAGAAGAAGGGCUUAGGGAUCGAGAAUUCUUCAUUUCUUUGAACUAAUUUGGCUACUCACCUGCCAGAUCAUUUGGGCAGGUCACUUGUUUGCUGUGCUUCAGUUUAAACCCCAUUGUCAAUUAAGAAAAUACCCCACUGUGAAUUUCAGAGACAUUAGGUGGUGUUUUAUUAAUGCAGGUCUUUAAUGUAGGGCUUUUAUGGGAAAAAAGGGAAGUUUUAUUUAUUUGUUUGUUUGUUGUUUAUUUAUUCAUUUGAUUGUGUUGUUGAGACCAGUGGUGAGCGAGUAGCUCAGCUGAUGAGCAAAGGGUAUGGGAAUGUUGAAGUCAAGGCUGGACGUGAGUAGGAAGUAUCAGCCCAUUCGAUGGUAAUCCUAGCCUAAUGAGUGGUCUUGAAGAUGGACGUCAUUGUCCAGGCAUGACCAAGUGGAUGGAACUGCAUGAGGUCAUCAUUGCUCUGGGAAAAGCGGCUUUAAAGGCAUGUUAAACGUGGGUCUUUUAAAAUGACUGUCUUCUGGUUAAGGAGAUUUGCUGGACAUGAGAAUAAUCUGACAGUAGCAUCUCCAUCUCUUUUUUUCUAUGAUCAGUAUCCCUGAAAUGCUGGUUAGCUUCUUUCCAACAAAAUUGUGGUCCAAGUAGGAUGCUGGGGAAUGCUGAUUUUAGCAAAAACCUAGUUAGAAAAAAAAAAAGAGUGGCUUGGCACAAAAGAAAGAAAAAAAAAAAAAAAGAAAAGGAAAAAGCCGUCUCUUGAGUUUUGGCACAGUGCGAGCUGUCCCAUACCAGACAAAUGAAUAGACUUAAUCUGGUACCAUUCUUUUCUCGUUCCACCUCAGAAGUGAAGGGAUUGCAGACCUUGCUCUUUCAGGGGAAUGUACUUAGGUUUCUUGAAUUUCGAGAAAUCUACCUAGUGAUAAGGGAAGGAGAAUCCCUCAUUUCAGCUUUUCUUGCUGUUGUAGCUGAUAACUCUGAAGGAAACUCGCUGAGAGAAAAAUGUGAAAUGAAGGUGACUCAGCAGUUAAGAUGCUGAGUCUGUACAUGAGAGGUACAUGAAGGGCUAAUUAACAUGUGGUAUGGUUGGACACAUGAAGUACUCAUUUGCAUUUAGAUUACUAUGUAAUAGUCAUUAACGCUGCUUAAGAAGGAUUUAUAUUUCAGUGAGAUUUGUACUAAAUUUUAUAAAAAUAAACAACUUUUUAU